CCAUCACCGAUCAUCACUACUUGGUAGGAAGGGACCUCACGGCCAGAGGAGGGGAGAGCCAUCUGCCUUCAUCAGUUUCUUUCACCCUUUCUUUUAAAGCAGCGGAGGUUCCACACCAAACUGCACAAAGAUCAUUUGACAGUCGCAAGGAAUUAAGUGGUCAAAAUCAAAAUGUGGAAGAACAAGCAUGAAUCUUGAAAUGUUAUUUUUAGAACAACUAGUUGAAUUUAAGUUUUAAUUUGUA